rnacentral:rRNA from 1 species
GAUCCUGGCUCAGAACGAACGCUGGUGGCGUGUCUAUACAUGCAAGUCGAGCGAGGCAGCAAUGCCGAGCGGCGAACGGGUGAGUAACGCGUAAGCAAUCUGCCCCAUAUCAGGAAAUACCCGUGCCAACGCGCGGUUAAUGUCCAGGAGAGUGGCUCCUUGCAUGAGGAGUUAACUAGAGAUUUAUCGGUAUGGGAUGAGCUUGCGUCCGAUUAGCUAGUUGGCGGGGCAACGGCCACCAAGGCGACGAUCGGUAGCCGGCCUGAGAGGGUGAUCGGCCACAUUGGGACUGAGAUACGGCCCAGACUCCUACGGGAGGCAGCAGUAGGGAAUAUUGCACAAUGGGGGAAACCCUGAUGCAGCAACGCCACGUGUGGGAAGAAGCAUUUCGGUGUGUAAACCACUGUCAUGAGGGAAUAAGGCCCUUAUCCGUAAGGGAUUGAAUGUACCUUGAGAGGAAGCACCGGCAAACUUCGUGCCAGCCGCUGC